UGCUCCAUGACACGGACGGGGGACGGCGGAUGGCGACCAUGAGGACCCCGCCGGGCGCCGGCGCCGGUUUGUGCGGCAGGGAACGCGAGUGAAACCGAAACGACGGCGGCGGCGUGGGUGGAGUAAACAAAAGGAAGCGAUGGUUCAUGGCUGCCGCCUGCCGUCUACCACGACUACUAUUUAGUUAGGACCUUGAACACAUUGGUACUUUCAUUAACAAUGGCUUACCAUUUAUUUGUGCAUUAUACUCCUUCUAUCCCAAAUUACUAUUUAUUUUGGUAUUCAUUUUGGUUUUUCUAGAUACACACAUUUCGAUAUGCAACUAGAUUUGAUGUUUUUAGUCCUUUUAUUUUUCUAUUUUAUUGUUGGUUUAAAUAGAGCCAAUGAAAUCUUGCCCCAGAGGUUUUUUAUUUUGGGUACCAAGGUUUUUUCCUUUCCUCCUUAGUCUAUAUAUAUCUAUACCUACCUAAUAUUAAGUGCCGCGUGUUUUUUACAACUGUCAUGAACAUUUUUAAAAAAAAUCUCUCAUUUUUUUCAUAAUUAACCCUCAACACAAAAUUCACGGCACUUCCUAUUCAUGCCUCUAUCCCACCCGUUUGUGCUCGACGGUAGGCACAACUCAUUGUCCGCCCCUCACUCCCUUCCUCAGUUUGUCUCCAACCGCAGCUCCUGACUCAACAUGCGGUGCCGGUGGCACAGUGCUCAUCCUUUCCUCCCUCCCCAUCUAGCCAGUAUCAAGAUGCACCCAGCCUUUUAAAGCUCGCUGCCGACAAUCAUCACCAUCGAACUGUUGCUACGAAUCGAGGCCAACACCCGCCUUGCCACCAUGGGUGGUCCAGUUGAGCUCAUUGUGCUUCUGUAGCUCCUCUCGCAGCCACUCGAACGCUGCACUAUAACCCUAAUAGGGAGCAAGAAUGCGCCCAGCCAUGCCACCAUGAUGCCUUUGGUGGACACCUACAUGGAGAGGAGGAACACAUGGGGGGCUGCGGUGGCGACGCCAACCGUGUCCCCAGCUCGAAGCCCGUCGAGGAUGUAGAGCGCUAGGAUGACGAAGCCUACCACGGUGUGCACUGCGAGGUGGAGCCGGACCUUGGUCCGGAAGAUGGGUGUGACCAGGGUGGGCUUGUCCGGACACGGCGAGAAGGCGACCUGGUGAGGAAGUAGGGAAGAAGGAGUACCGCAAUGCUAAAGUCUUAGAGCAGGACCAUGGUGGAGACAGGACAACACGGUAGUCGUGCCUAGCUUGUUGGCUGCUUGAUGGAGAUGUACUAGUGGUGGUACGGGCGCGCCCGUGUGGUUGGGGGGCAUGGAUGGCAACGUGAUGCUACUUCCGCCGUCGGGCCAACACCCUGGCAUGCAAGUGAGCGAGCAAGGCUGCCAGGGAGUGCAGCGCAAGUUGCGGCGUCAACUUAAAAAGCUGGAAGCGGUAGCAAGCGUCGGAGAUGUUUGGGCCUCGUAAGAGUGAUGAAGUUACGACAAGACAGCCAGCGGCGGAGCUCGCCAAAUUUUUUAGCUGGGGCAGAUAUUAUUUGGUGUGCCGGCCGUUGCGCUCGUUGCUUGCCACUUGAGCCAUGAUCGGAGACAACCUCCACGCACACACGCCCUGACGCACGCACAGGCGCACAUCCUGAGCCAUCGCACGGCAGAGCCACAGCCGACUACCUUGCCACUGAACCGAUUGCAGCAGUGCAGCCGCGUAGCCAAUGCUGACUCCAACCCGCUGCUUCUCCUCGGCGCCGCCCAGCAGUAGCAGCUAUGCUGUCGCCGCCGCUCCCCUUGCUAACUCGCUCUCCCUUCCUACGAAUCAAAAUUGCGGCUCCUCACUGAUCUCCCCUGACGCCAGUGAUUCACAGAACAGAGCAGCCAGCCAGGACAGCCGCACCAGGUCUAGGCGGCGCGGUUGCAAUCAGCGACCGGCAUGGACGCACGCUAUUGUCGAGUGGCUGGCUGGUGCCAAAGCACAGUUGGAGCGUGGGCCUUUUACCUAUGCGCUGGGCCAAAACACAAGUGGGCCAUCUACUUGGAUGCAACCACCGACCCAAGACGGACUUUGUUUUCCUCCUCCGUCUGUGGCUCUGUGCGACGCGAUAGAGCCUCCAGCGCCGCUCCGCGGCUCCGGCCGCCAGGAACACCAUGGGGGAGGAUGGAUUUCUACUUCGUUAGUAGCUGGGGGCAACUACCUCACUCUGCUGUAUGGGAAGCUCCACCUAUGAAGGCAGCAUGGCGCAGGAGCAUACGACAAGCCGCGGUGCCCUAGAAAGCAAACUGGCUCUAGCGCUGUGCUGACAGGAAUAAUGGAUGGAGGCUCCCUAGCGCCGUACUGACACAAAAAAUGGAUGGAGGCUACAUGUUGGAGAGUAAGUGGAAGUCAUCAUCUCCGAAACUUUCAAAAAGGUGCACACUCAAUUUCACAAAAGAACGAUCCAUUCUGUAUGGAUUUUUUUUCACCAGCGAAUUGGCUUGAGAAUGGGUAGGAUCCAUAACAACACGCAGACGUUUCUGCUAGUCUAUUCUAAAAGUCCAUAUUUGUA